UACAGAGGGGGGCAAGCGUUUGUUCGGAAUUACUGGGCGUAAAGGGCGCGUAGGCGGCCUUCUAAGUCGAACGUGAAAUCCCUGGGCUCAACCCAGGAACUGCGUCCGAUACUGGAAGGCUUGAAUCCGGGAGAGGGAUGCGGAAUUCCAGGUGUAGCGGUGAAAUGCGUAGAUAUCUGGAGGAACACCGGUGGCGAAGGCGGCAUCCUGGACCGACACUGACGCUGAGGAGCGAAAGCCAGGGGAGCAAACAGG
rnacentral:rRNA from 1 species